GAUUAUGGCUCAGGACGAACGCUGGCGGCGUGCCUAACACAUGCAAGUCGAGCGAGGAGAUCCUCGGGAUGAUCCUAGCGGCGGACGGGUGAGUAACACGUGGGCAACCUGCCUCAUAGAGAGGAAUAGCCUUCCGAAAGGGAGAUUAAUACCUCAUAACAUUGCAGUUUCGCAUGAAACAGCAAUUAAAGGAGCAAUCCGCUAUGAGAUGGGCCCGCGGCGCAUUAGCUAGUUGGUGAGGUAACGGCUCACCAAGGCGACGAUGCGUAGCCGACCUGAGAGGGUGAUCGGCCACAUUGGGACUGAGACACGGCCCAGACUCCUACGGGAGGCAGCAGUGGGGAAUAUUGCACAAUGGGGGAAACCCUGAUGCAGCCAACGCCGCGUGAGUGAUGACGGCCUUCGGGUUGUAAAGCUCUGUCUUCAGGGACGAUAAUGACGGUACCUGAGGAGGAAGCCACGGCUAACUACGUGCCAGCAGCUGC
rnacentral:rRNA from 1 species